GACGAACGCUGGCGGCGUGCCUAAUACAUGCAAGUAGAACGCUGAAGGAGGAGCUUGCUUCUCUGGAUGAGUUGCGAACGGGUGAGUAACGCGUAGGUAACCUGCCUGGUAGCGGGGGAUAACUAUUGGAAACGAUAGCUAAUACCGCAUAAGAGUAGAUGUUGCAUGACAUUUGCUUAAAAGGUGCAAUUGCAUCACUACCAGAUGGACCUGCGUUGUAUUAGCUAGUUGGUGGGGUAACGGCUCACCAAGGCGACGAUACAUAGCCGACCCGAGAGGGUGAUCGGCCACACUGGGACUGAGACACGGCCCAGACUCCUACGGGAGGCAGCAGUAGGGAAUCUUCGGCAAUGGACGGAAGUCUGACCGAGCAACGCCGCGUGAGUGAAGAAGGUUUUCGGAUCGUAAAGCUCUGUUGUAAGAGAAGAACGAGUGUGAGAGUGGAAAAUUCACACUGUGACGGUAUCUUACCAGAAAGGGACGGCUAACUACGUG
rnacentral:rRNA from 1 species